rnacentral:piRNA from 1 species
UGCCACGAAAUGAAUCUUCCUACGGCA